rnacentral:tRNA from 1 species
GCCCAGGUGGUGAAACAGGUAGACACAACGGACUUAAAAUCCGUCGCCUCUUAAAACGGGCGUGCCGGUUCGAUUCCGGCUCUGGGCACCA